rnacentral:lncRNA from 1 species
GGUUCCAAGGAUAGUGUAAAGUUUCAAUUCGAAAAAGACACGGCAAGAACUGUAUAUAGGGUUGCUGACAACCUAGAACAGUAAGAACAGGCAUAGGCUAGAGCAGGCACGUUACUCAAAAAUGUGGAUUAGAACAACGUUUUUACGAGAUAAACAAUUCCUUACCACUACCUUCGUAACUCGUUUAUUAAAUGUUGAAUUGCAAGAGCUCUUAUUUGGGCAUGACGACUUUCUGUUUUGUAAAGCUGAU